AGGGAAAUCGAGGAAUAAAUUCAUUUUGAUGAGAUACUAAACUUGAAUAUUAAAAUACUAUAAAUAUAAAGAUUGAAUAAUGAAUAUAUGUUGAACAUUGAAGUCUUGAAAGGAGGAAUUGAAGGGAACUCACAAUUUUUUUAUAUUUUUUUUCUCAAGUUUUCUUCAAGUUGACUCAUUAAAAUAAUAAUUAAUAAAAAAAAACAUUAUUCUUCAAUGUCUGAUAUGUUUGAUCUAAUUUGAAAUAAUUAAGACGAAGUAGUUCUCAAAAUUUUAAAAUAAGAUAAAUAAAAAUCAAAUGUGCCUUAAGGAGCAUUUUUUAUGGUCGAUCGUUAGGUGUAUUAAUUAAUUGAUAUGAGUCUUCAAAAAAAAAAAAAAAUUUGAUAUGAAUAUGAUUGACUAUGAAAGUAUUGAAAAAACAAGCACACUAAUGAGUAAUGAUGCAGUGAUAUGAAUUAGGAUAAAGUUGAGAUACAAAAUCUUUUUAACUAUUUUUUUUUUUUGAAACAAAUUAUUCUGUUUAUUACAGAGUAUAAAAUAGCUAUCUACAUACUUUAUGGUCUAACAAUAUCUUUUCUGAAAAUAGUAUGGUAGGGGGAGGUGUACCAUGUGCAUGGUACACCUCCCUCGUAUCUUUCACCAUCUUCCCCUUUCGAUAAAAAAAAAAAAACAAAAAAAAAUUAAUUGAAAACUUUCCCUCCUUAUAAAUAUGCAAUCAAUUUGAUCCUUCCUUUUAUAAAACUUCCAAAAUCAAAAUUCUUCCCCAAAUUUGGUAUUACAAUAAUUCUAGAGAGAAAUAUAUUCUAUUCAAUUUUUUAGAGAGAGAGAGAAAAAACAGAGCAAUUACAGAGAUCGUUUUCGAGAGAUUUUCAACAAUUUUCAUGUCUUAAUCCAAAUUUCGACAUGAUUCUGAUGCAAGAUUUGUCAAUGAAUUUACAAAAGAGAAUGAUGGCAUUGAUAAUGACGAUGAUGGAGAAGAAUCUGAAGUCUUCGUGAACAGCGAUGAAGGUAAUGCUGAUGAUUAUUUGUGAUUUUUAUAUUUUAAUUGUUUGAUUUUAUUUUUUUUACAUUCUAUUUUGAUAAAUUAUAAGUAAUUGAAGAAUAAUUUUCUAUUUAUUUGUGAUUUUUAUAUUGUAAUUGUUUGAUUUAUGUCUAAUGUUGAUGAUGAACUUCAUUUUGAUUUAUUGUUACGUGCACUGAAAUCAAUGUAUAUAUUGUAUGUAUUAUAUGUUCUUUUGUUAACGUCGUAUGUUCAUUUAAUAAAAACUAAUGUUCUUUAUUGUUUUAUAUUGAUCUUAUGUUCUUUUACAUAUCAUGUUUUUUUUUUUUUUUAGAUCAUGUUCUUUUUAUAUUAGAUCAUGUUCUUUUCAUUUGAUAUUAUGUUCUUUUGAUUUGUCUAUAUGUGCUGCUAAUUUUAUAUAAUGCUAUUUUAUUGAAUACAUUUGUUAUACAGGUUUCACAGAAGAUAAGGAAUCCGAAUUACUUUAUAAAAAAGUCAAGUCUGAUCUAGAAGCCUAUGAGUUGUACAACAAUUAUUCAUUCAAACACGGAUUUGGUACCCGAAAGGUGAAGCUAGAGCGUAGGGCAGAUGGAGUGACCAUUCGAAACGUACAAUUACUUGCUAUUAUGAAGGUUUUAAGAGAGUGAAGAAGUUUGGCGAAGAACCUAAAGUUUACCAGAAAAGAGACUUUCGAACAGGAUGUAAAGCUUUUAUUCAGUUUGAUGUUGACAAGGAAUCUGGAUUGUUUAUUGUGGCUAAACAUCAUAUGGUGCAUAAUCAUAGUAGAGUUCUGAUUUCUAAGAGGCAUAUGAUUAGGUCACAUAGGAAGGUUUCUGAGGAACAAGUUGGAAUGCUUAAUAGUCUAACUGAAAAUGGUAUUAGCGUGGCAAAUGCAAUCCGUGUUUUAAAGAAUCAAGUAGGUGGGGAGGCCAAUCUUGGGUUUCUUUAUAGUGAUGCAUAUAAUGUUUUAGGUUCUAAGAAGAGAUCAAAGUUUGAUGGCUGUGAUACAAAGCAACUACUCAGUUAUUUCAAGCAUCGAAAAUCCAAUGAGUAUGACUUUUAUUAUGAUCUUGAUGUCGAUGAAGAGGGUCAUUUGCAGUCUUUCUUUUUUCGUGAUAAUAGGAUGAAAGUUGAUUAUGACGCUUUUGGAGAUUUGUUGGUUCAUGAUACUACAUAUCGUACAAACAAAUAUGCUAUGAUAUGUGGUCCAUUUGUGGGCAUGAAUCAUCAUAAUAACAACGUUAUGUUUGGUGUAGGGUUUUUGAUUAAUGAAAAGUGAGAGUCCUUUGUGUGGUUAUUCAAUACAUUUUUGAGAUCCAUGUGAUACAAACAUCCAACUACUAUAGUGACCAAUCAAGCUAUGGCAAUGGCUAAAGCAGUUAGGAUAGUAUUUCCCAAUAGUCGUCAUCGGUUAUGUACUUGGCAUAUCAAUGAGAAUGCGAAGAAAAACAUUAAAGGACUCAAACAAAAAGAAGGGUUUACUUACCUUUUUGAUAUUGUGCUGAAGUAUACUGAUACAAUUGCAGAGUUUGAACAUUAUUGGUCAAGCAUGCUGGACAAAUUUCAAUGCCAAGACAACAAAUGGAUUAUGAAUCUGUAUAACAUUAGAGAGAUGUGGUGCCCUGCGUAUUCUAAGGACUACUUUAGUGGAGGUAUUUUGUCUUCUCAAAGGAGUGAAACAACAAACAAGUCCAUUUCACGUAGGCUUCAUAUUACUCAUGAUCUUUGUGAUUUUUAUAACUCUUUCAUUGAGGUUGUUGAUGAGUAGAGGGGUAAAGAAGGCAAUCAUGACUAUAAUAGUAUCACUGGUAAUCGUCAUUUAAUUUGGGUAGAUAUUGGGUUAUUGGAGCAUGCAAGAAAGAUUUACACUAUUGCAUUGUACCUAAUGUUUGAAGAUAAUUUCAUCAGUGGUGUACCUUGUAUUGCUAAUGUUAUUGCAAUGAAGCCUCCUCUAUAUGAAUAUCAUGUUGGUCAUCCUAAGAAGGAUUUAAUAAAGCAUACUAUUGCUUUUGAUGAGUCCAUGGUUACAGUUGAUUGCACUUGUAAGUAUUUUUGGUGAAGUUGGGCUACUUUGUAAGCAUUCCCUUCGUGUUUUACAUUUGAACAAUAUCACUUACAUUACAUCGAGAUAUAUUGUGAAGAGAUGGACAAAAGGUGCAAUGUGCACUAGGAUUGAUGAUAAUGAUGUGGCUCAUGAAGGUAUUACUCCUCCGAAUGUUUGGAGGUUACAUAACAUUAGGACCUUCAUACAUAUUGUAGAUCAUACGAAUAUGACACGAGGGCCCGAAAUGUUAUUGAGGAGUCUAUUGAUGAGUGUACAACUAGGAUUAAUUUUUUAUUGAAACAAGAUGAUGAAAAUGUUGUGCAAGAAUCUGUUGAGAAUCAAGAAGGCGGUAAUUUGUUGGAGCAAGUUCCAAUUGAAGAACCUGCUGAAAGUAAAGCUGUGAAUGAAAAUUAACAAGAAGUGAAAGACCCAGAAGAAAAGACAAAGAAAUACUAGGCUUAAAAUCACACAAGAAAAAAUAUGCAACAAGUUAAAAGGACAAAGAUCAAGUCCUGGAAAAAAAAGAGUUCAAAGGGAGUUUCAAAAAUGAAACAAAAUGCUCGGUCU